rnacentral:rRNA from 1 species
GACGAACGCUGGCGGCGUGCCUAAUACAUGCAAGUAGAACGCUGAGGAAAGGAGCUUGCUUCUUUUGGAUGAGUUGCGAACGGGUGAGUAACGCGUAGGUAACCUGCCUUGUAGCGGGGGAUAACUAUUGGAAACGAUAGCUAAUACCGCAUAACAGCUUUUGACACAUGUUAGAAGCUUGAAAGAUGCAAUUGCAUCACUACGAGAUGGACCUGCGUUGUAUUAGCUAGUAGGUAGGGUAACGGCCUACCUAGGCGACGAUACAUAGCCGACCUGAGAGGGUGAUCGGGCCACACUGGGACUGAGACACGGGCCCAGACUCCUACGGGAGGCAGCAGUAGGGAAUCUUCGGGCAAUGGGGGCAACCCUGACCGAGCAACGCCGCGUGAGUGAAGAAGGUUUUCGGAUCGUAAAGCUCUGUUGUAAGAGAAGAACGUGUGUGAGAGU